rnacentral:rRNA from 1 species
CAGCCGCCGCGGUAAUACGUAGGUGGCGAGCGUUGUCCGGAUUUAUUGGGCGUAAAGGGAGUGUAGGCGGUCUUUUAAGUCUGAUGUGAAAGCCCACGGCUCAACCGUGGAGGGCCAUUGGAAACUGGGAGACUUGAGUGCAGAAGAGGAGAGCGGAAUUCCAUGUGUAGCGGUGAAAUGCGUAGAUAUAUGGAGGAACACCAGUGGCGAAGGCGGCUCUCUGGUCUGUAACUGACGCUGAGGCUCGAAAGCGUGGGGAGCAAACAGGAUUAGAUACCCGCGUAGUCCCUGUCUCUUAUAC